UACGUAGGGUGCGAGCGUUAAUCGGAAUUACUGGGCGUAAAGCGUGCGCAGGCGGUUCGUCGUGUCGGCGGUGAAAGCCCCGGGCUUAACCUGGGAAUGGCCGUUGAAACUGGCGAACUGGAGUGUGGCAGAGGGGGGUGGAAUUCCGCGUGUAGCAGUGAAAUGCGUAGAGAUGCGGAGGAACACCGAUGGCGAAGGCAGCCCCCUGGGCUAACACUGACGCUCAGGCACGAAAGCGUGGGGAGCAAACAGG
rnacentral:rRNA from 1 species